rnacentral:rRNA from 1 species
GUGGGGAAUAUUGGACAAUGGGCGAAAGCCUGAUCCAGCCAUGCCGCGUGUGUGAAGAAGGUCUUCGGAUUGUAAAGCACUUUAAGUUGGGAGGAAGGGCAGUAAGUUAAUACCUUGCUGUUUUGACGUUACCGACAGAAUAAGCACCGGCUAACUUCGUGCCAGCAGCCGCGGUAAUACGAAGGGUGCAAGCGUUAAUCGGAAUUACUGGGCGUAAAGCGCGCGUAGGUGGUUUUGUAAGUUGGAGGUGAAAUCCCCAGGCUCAACCUGGGAACUGCCUCCAAAACUGCAUGACUAGAGUACGGUAGAGGGUAGUGGAAUUUCCUGUGUAGCGGUGAAAUGCGUAGAUAUAGGAAGGAACACCAGUGGCGAAGGCGACUACCUGGACUGAUACUGACACUGAGGUGCGAAAGCGUGGGGAGCAAACAGGAUUAGAUACCCUUGUAGUCC